rnacentral:tmRNA from 1 species
GGGGAUGUAAAGGUUUCGACGGGGAUUUCAAACCUUGGUAAGCGAGCGGCGGUGCGGAACCGCCAUAAAAUCCGCAACUUUAAAAUUAACUGACAACAAAACAGUUGCUUUAGCAGCCUGAGUGCUGCUCGUUCCUGCACAGAGUACCUCGGCUGUGUAAGGGGCGUCAAUUAGAGGUAAAUGUGAACAGGGGAGCGCUCCGAACCCUGUCACAGUUUAGGAGCUGCCAAAGUGCAUAGCCUGUUGAUGGGCGAUGCACCGAGGGAGAUUUAAAACACCAACUGCGCUCGGAGAAACCCUUGGCAAGAUUUUUUCGGACAGGGGUUCGAUUCCCCUCAUCUCCACCA